AGUGAACGCUGGCGGUAGGCCUAACACAUGCAAGUCGAACGGCAGCACAGUAAGAGCUUGCUCUUACGGGUGGCGAGUGGCGGACGGGUGAGGAAUACAUCGGAAUCUACUUUUUCGUGGGGGAUAACGUAGGGAAACUUACGCUAAUACCGCAUACGACCUACGGGGGAAAGCAGGGGAUCUUGGGACCUUGCGCGAUUGAGUGAGCGGAUGUCGGAUUAGCUAGUUGGCGGGGUAAAGGCCCACCAAGGCGACGAUCCGCAGCUGGUCUGAGAGGAUGAUCAGCCACACUGGAACUGAGACACGGUCCAGACUCCUACGGGAGGCAGAAGUGGGGAAUAUUCGACAAUGGGCGCAAGCCUGAUCCAGCCAUACCGCGUGGGUGAAGAAGGUCUUCGGAUUGUAAAGCCCUUUUGUUGGGAAAGAAAAGCAGCAGGUUAAUACCCCGCUGUUCUGACGGUACCCAAAGAAUAAGCACCGGCUAACUUCGUG
rnacentral:rRNA from 1 species